rnacentral:rRNA from 1 species
UACAGAGGGUGCGAGCGUUAAUCGGAAUUACUGGGCGUAAAGCGCACGUAGUCGGCUUGUCAAGUCGGGUGUGAAAUCCCCGGGCUCAACCUGGGAAUGGCGCUUGUGACUGCAAAGCUGGAGUGCGGCAGAGGGGGAUGGAAUUCCGCGUGUAGCAGUGAAAUGCGUAGAUAUGCGGAGGAACACCAAUGGCGAAGGCAAUCCCCUGGGCCUGCACUGACGCUCAUGCACGAAAGCGUAGGGAGCAAACAGGAUUAGAUACCCUUGUAGU